AUUGCCCUAGUAACGGCGAGUGAAGCGGCAACAGCUCAAAUUUGAAAUCUGGCCCUUGGGUCCGAGUUGUAAUUUGUAGAGGAUGCUUUUGGUGAGGUGCCUUCCGAGUUCCCUGGAACGGGACGCCAUAGAGGGUGAGAGCCCCGUCUGGUUGGACACCGAGCCUCUGUAAAGCUCCUUCGACGAGUCGAGUAGUUUGGGAAUGCUGCUCUAAAUGGGAGGUAUAUGUCUUCUAAAGCUAAAUAUAGGCCAGAGACCGAUAGCGCACAAGUAGAGUGAUCGAAAGAUGAAAAGCACUUUGAAAAGAGGGUUAAAUAGUACGUGAAAUUGUUGAAAGGGAAGCGCUUAUGACCAGACUUGAGCCCGGUUAAUCAUCCAGCCUUCUGGCUGGUGCACUUGGCCGGCUCAGGCCAGCAUCAGUUCGGCGCGGGGGAUAAAGACUUCGGGAAUGUGGCUCCUCCGGGAGUGUUAUAGCCCGCUGUGUAAUACCCUGUACUGGACUGAGGUUCGCGCAUCUGCAAGGAUGCUGGCGUAAUGGUCAUCAGCGACCCGUCUUGAAACACGGACCAAGGAGUCGUCUUCGUAUGCGAGUGUUCGGGUGUCAAACCCCUACGCGUAAUGAAAGUGAACGCAGGUGAGAGCUUCGGCGCAUCAUCGACCGAUCCUGAUGUUCUCGGACGGAUUUGAGUAAGAGCAUACGGAGCCGGACCCGAAAGAAGGUGAACUAUGCCUGUAUAGGGUGAAGCCAGAGGAAACUCUGGUGGAGGCUCGCAGCGGUUCUGACGUGCAAAUCGAUCGUCAAAUAUGGGCAUGGGGGCGAAAGACUAAU
rnacentral:rRNA from 1 species